GGAGAGAUACCCAAGUGGCCAACGGGACCAGACUGUAAAUCUGGCGGCAUUAGCCUUCGAAGGUUCGAAUCCUUCUCUCUCCACCA
rnacentral:tRNA from 1 species